CUAGCUGAUAAGGAAACAAUUAUACUCCUUCUCCAACCCCCAAAACCAACACCUGAAAACUGGUUGGUAACUAGAGAAACCCCAGGUACAUCAGAAGACAUAAGAAAUAGAGGAUUCGACGGGUCAGGAACAAAGCUAGUGGGUACAGGAAGAGGAUUUUCACCUUCAUCAGUCAUUUUAAGUGUGAGUGACGACAAAUGAACAAAAAUGAAUGAAAUAUAUGAGAUACAAAACUGUUACUCAAGAACUAAUUGAUUUAAGACACAAAACUUCUGUGAACACACCACCAGUAGUACCGAUGAAACAACAACCAAACUUCAAAAUUGAUGAAUCAAAGAGAAAACACAAAACUUUUGUGAAUACACCACGAGUACCACCGAUGAAGCAACAAACAACUUCAAAAUUGACAAAUCGAAGAAAAAAUACUAACCGACUGCGAAGAAAAACGGAGAAAACCCUAGGUUGUGAAAACUGAUGAAAACUUGAACGAUAAACGAUGAGGCUAGUACCGGAUGAUAGCUCUUGACGAGGAGAGUCGAAUGACCCGCUCUGAUACCAUGUUAACUUCCAUGGAUGCCAUGGAUUUGAGGAGAGAUGAAGAACAAUGAACAGUGGCGAAGAGAGAGAAAGGAGAGAAAAACUGAAAAGCUGUCUCUCUUAUUUCUCGAAUGUUCUACAAAAUGAAACGACCCACAUAAAAUAAAAAUCUAUGUGUGUGUGUAUACAGGUGUGUGUAGUAAAUAAAGAAUAAAGAAUGGCUAUAUUUACAAUUUCCUAAAGUGGCUAUUUAUGUAACCUCUAUUGCUGCCUGCUUGUUCUUCAGGUUGGGCUUUGUGGAGCCCAAUAUCUCAACA
rnacentral:lncRNA from 1 species